rnacentral:siRNA from 1 species
ACUGAACAGUUUCUGCUUCUUUGC